rnacentral:lncRNA from 1 species
AACCAAGCCUGAAUAGGGAUCAACCUUUUUGGAUCCUUUUGAUCUAUCUUUCUUGAUUCUUGAAGAAACCAAGAACUUUUCUUGAUCCUUCAACUAAUGAAGAAGAACAACAACCAAAAAGUGGUUGUAACUAACUCUUAACAAACUUGAGAGGAAAGGAAACAAACCAUGUGCAAGUGGCACCAACAAUUGACACCACCUCCUAUGAUGCUGUCCACUCUCUUUUUGGCUCCAAGGGAAGACGCCAAGAGAGAGAAGAGGCAUGGGCC